rnacentral:rRNA from 1 species
GACGAACGCUGGCGGCGUGCUUAACACAUGCAAGUCGAACGGAAAGGCCCUGCUUUUGUGGGGUGCUCGAGUGGCGAACGGGUGAGUAACACGUGAGUAACCUGCCCUUGACUUUGGGAUAACUUCAGGAAGCUGGGGCUAAUACCGGAUAGGAGCUCCUGCUGCAUGGUGGGGGUUGGAAAGUUUCGGCGGUUGGGGAUGGACUCGCGGCUUAUCAGCUUGUUGGUGGGGUAGUGGCUUACCAAGGCUUUGACGGGUAGCCGGCCUGAGAGGGUGACCGGCCACAUUGGGACUGAGAUACGGCCCAGACUCUUACGGGAGGCAGCAGUGGGGAAUAUUGCACAAUGGGCGGAAGCCUGAUGCAGCAACGCCGCGUGCGGGAUGACGGCCUUCGGGUUGUAAACCGCUUUCGCCUGUGACGAAGCGUGAGUGACGGUAAUGGGUAAAGAAGCACCGGCUAACUACGUG